rnacentral:misc_RNA from 1 species
GAAAUGCGAUACGUAGUGUGAAUUGCAGAAUUACGUGAAUCAUCAAGUCUUUGAACGCAUAUUGCGCUCGAGGCCUCGGCCGAGAGCAUGUCUGCCUCAGCGUCGGGUUAAUACUCGCUCCAACCAUACCUGUAUGGGCAUGGCUAUACGAGCGGAACUGGUCGUCCCAGGCGUGUGCUUGUGCUUCACCGCACUCGCGCAUCAACGGCUGGGUCGGCUGAAGUGCAGAGGUUGAUACAUGGACCCGUUAUGGGCCGCAGAUGGUUAGGCAUGCUUCGGCAGCUAUUUUUCUAUCUGUUGGCUUGGCGUCGUAAUGUGUCUGACCCUAUCACAGGAACCUCACUUUAUUUCCUCGACCUGAGCUCAGGCAAGAACACCCGCUGAACUUAA